GUUCGCUGCCGUAUAGGCAGCUCAGAAA
rfam:Halotalea alkalilenta strain IHB B 13600, complete genome.